rnacentral:lncRNA from 1 species
ACACACAACAGUAGCCAGCUGCACAAGCUACACACACACACAACAGUAGCCAGCUGCACAAGCUACACACACACACACACACACCAGUAGCCAGCUGCACAAGCUACACACACACACACGCACCAAUGUGGCCAGCUGCUUCUACUCCAAUUCCAUAUGACCAUAAGUAACCUUAUAGCAAUAUUUUGUUAAUGUAAAUAAAAGUUAGGGUUUUAACUAUAUUAGAUGUGAUGGGAAGUUAUACUUUUCAACUCAGAAGAAUACUGUUUAGUCAUGAUAGAGUAUUGGCAUCAGUAGAUACUGUAUAUGUUAAUUAACAGCACACUUCCUGUUACACAAGUAAAAGGAAUUAGUGCAUUACUGGUAUAUUGUACCAGAGAGAGCGUUGUUUUCUAUGAUCACAAGUGAUUGUUUACUUGGCCUCUUAUGUCUAUUGAGAUAUCAAGUGCUGCUUAAAGACUUGCUCUUGCUCUUAUAUUCUAUUAAGAUAGAUUCCAUUUAGAUGGAUUAUGAGCGAGGGAGAGACGCGAGGAAGUGAUGAUUGUGUGCCGGCUAGCACCACCGGGCGUGUGAUGACGGCCAAUCAGGGAGGUGGUGCUACGUCUACCUAUCCCUGUAUGUGCAGUGUGUGUGCCUUCCUAAUCCACACCACAUCAAAUACAAUCAUAAUCAUUAAUAACAUUUAAUUAACAAUUGUAGGAUACUGUACUAGCUUACAGUGUCAUGCGCAGUGUGGAGCAACGUCUUAGUCCUGUUGACAGUUGUAGUAUACCAGUAUGUAGUGUGGAGCAACUUGACAGUCCUGUUGACAGUUGGAGUAUACCAGUAUGUAGUGUAGUGCAACUUGACAGUCCUUAAGAUACAUGGCAUGCAUGAAAAAGGUGCUCAUUUUUAUUUGUAGUGAAAUUUUAGUGUUGUAAAUGUAUUACCUUUCUCACUGUAUCCCACCACUGAGAGAGGAAUGCCUACUCGAGGCAUGAUGUCAUGGAAACCCAGUUUGUUAUACCAAUCAUACUUUGCUGAAGGACAUCAUUCUUUGUCAUACUUAGAAUUAUAUUAAUAUUAAGGUAAACUAGUGGCCUUAGAUAGCAUUUGGGUCAAAAAUGGUCACAUUCAGUAAUUGUUACUGGAAAUAAUCGACACUACAAAAGUCUGUUUCUCGGUUAUAUUCUCUUCUCUGCAUCAUACCCAGGCCCAGAUAUACUGUGGCAGCUGGUUGCUAUGGCCUAAAUUGUGACUAGAUACUAUGGCGUAUGUAGUAAAACAUUUACGUCUAAAGUUGUCAAAAGAAGCAAUGAACUAGUCUUGGGUACGUAUCCUCUGCUCUACCCACAGGAUCUAUCAGUGCCUCUCACAUAUAAAAUAUGGAUAUAUUUAGAUAGCUUAUAUAUUUUGUGGCAUAUAUGUAAAUUUAUAUAGAUAUUUAAGACUUCUACAUAUUUUCAAGCUAAUGCACAUGUUUUCCUCUAAAUUUUGAUUAUAAGGUAGUGUUAAUACUUUUGCUUUUAUUAUUAUCCAAUAUUGUUUCAGUUUUGUGAUUGUCUUGUCAUGCUAACAGAUACUAGUAUACACAGUAGGUUAUAUACAAAGAUAAUAGUGUACACAGUAGAUUAUAUACACAGAUAAUAGUACUGUAUACAGAGUAGAUUAUAUAUCCAGAUAAUAGUACACACAGUAGAUUAUAUAAACAGAUAAGACCAGGUCCAAAAUUUGUACAUUAGAAUAACAACAUACUGGAGUGAAGGUACAAAAUGAAAUGCAGAAUAGAACCAUUUGAGGGGUAGAGGUGCUGUAGGCACACUCAGAAAGCAUUGUCUUAACAUCAGGGGUCCACAGCUGUUCAACACCCUCCCAGCAAGCAUUACAAAUAUGGCCGGAACGAAGGUGGAUGAAUUAAAGAGGCACUUAGACAAGUUCUUGCAAGAAAUGCCAGACCAACGAUGCUGUGGCGGAUAUGUGGGCCUGCGGGCUGCUCCAAGCAACAGCCUGCUGGGCCAAGUUAUCACAAGUCGAGCCUGGCCUCAGGCUGGGCUUGGGAGUAGAAGAAUUCAUGAAACCCUCUCUUGGUAUGCUCUAGGUCUAGGUUAUAGUAUACACAGCAGAUUAUACAUACAGAUAAUAGUAUACAUAGUAGAUUAUAUACUGAUAAUAGUAUACACAGUCAAUUAUAUACAGUAGAUUGUUAUCACUGUAGAUUAUAUAGAGAUAAUAGUAUACACAGAUUAUAUACAUAGUAGACUAUAUACAGAUAAUAGUAUGCACAAAUAGUAUACACAGUUGAUAAUAUACACACCACUUGGUAGGUAAAGUAUUCAAAAUGUAUAUUUUUGUGUUUUAUAAAGUUGUCUUGAAGGUUCACGUUCUCUCAAUCAAUGAAGACUCCCAGUUACUUGUUAAAUGUGAUGCUUCUCUUCCUAAGAAACCUCUGCUUAAUAGAUAUUUAAAUUUUGGUGUAAAAAGGCCCUAUGGUAUUUGUCUACAAAUAAAAAGGAAAACUUAUACGAGAAGAAAAUGAGGAAAAUGUAUGACUAUUUAUAAUGUAGUAGAGUCCUGUAUCAAAAGUAUGAUAUAUUUUUACAGUGUGCAUUCAAGUUUGAAGGCUAGUUCUUGUGCCAGAAAUUCCCUAAUUUGCAUUUUGUUAAAGAAGAGUUAUGUUACAGUAUUACAUGGAUAACUUAGUUAAUUUUCUGUAGAUUUAAUCAAAAUACAACACUGGUUGUUCCUAAACUUUAACAGAUAAGACAGUGAAAUUUUUCAGGCUCCCAAAGCCAUAUUGUUAUUAAUAGCCUCUAGUGAGCUUUUUAGACACUGCUGCUUAUAGUGCCGUUUUCACUUUCCCUCGAUUAAAUCCUCGGUAAAUCAAAUACCUUUGACAUCCCUUGUCUUUUAAUGGUAUUUAGGACCUUUUGACAGUUUUGUGACCAUGAUGGUUCUGAAUGGUCUUCCAUGCAUGAUGGCUUCUUUUGAAAAUGACUUGCUUAUAUACUUUAGACAUUUGCAGUACUUCUGAAGAGUAAUCAAUAUCAGUUAGGGAGAACCCACAGUGUGGUGCUGCCACAGUGUGGUGGUGGUGCCACAGUGUGGUGGUGCCACAGUGUGGUGGUGGUGCCACAGUGUGGUGGUGGUGCCACAGUGGUGGUGAGAAUGGACCUGACCCCACAGUGGUAGUGAGAAUGGACCUGACCCCACAGUGGUGGUGAGAAUGGACCUGACCCCACAGUGGUGGUGAGAAUGGACCUGACCCCACAGUGGUGGUGAGAAUGGACCUGACCCCACAGUGCUAGUGAGAAUGGACCUGACCCCACAGUGGUGGUGAGAAUGGACCUGACCCCACAGUGGUGGUGAAGGUGGACCUGACCCCACAGUGGUGGUGAGAAUGGACCUGACCCCACAGUGGUGGUGAAUGUGGACCUGACCCCACAGUGGUGGUGAGAAUGGACCUGACCCCACAGUGGUGGUGAAGGUGGACCUGACCCCACAGUGGUGGUGAAGGUGGACCUGACCCCACAGUGGUGGUGAGAAUGGACCUGACCCCACAGUGUGGUAGUGAGAAUGGACCUGACCCCACAGUGGUGGUGAGAAUGGACCUGACCCCACAGUGGUAGUGAGAAUGGACCUGACCCCACAGUGGUGGUGAGAAUGGACCUGACCCCAGAGUGGUGGUGAGAAUAGACCUGACCCCACAGUGCUAGUGAGAAUGGACCUGACCCCACAGUGGUGGUGAGAAUGGACCUGACCCCACAGUGCUAGUGAGAAUGGACCUGACCCCACAGUGCUAGUGAGAAUGGACCUGACCCCACAGUGGUAGUGAGAAUGGACCUGACCCCACAGUGCUAGUGAGAAUGGACCUGACCCCACAGUGGUGGUGAGAAUGGACCUGACCCCAGAGUGGUGGUGAGAAUGGACCUGACCCCACAGUGCUAGUGAGAAUGGACCUGACCCCACAGUGCUAGUGAGAAUGGACCUGACCCCAGAGUGGUGGUGAGAAUGGACCUGACCCCACAGUGCUAGUGAGAAUGGACCUGACCCCACAGUGCUAGUGAGAAUGGACCUGACCCCACAGUGCUAGUGAGAAUGGACCUGACCCCACAGUGCUAGUGAGAAUGGACCUGACCCCACAGUGCUAGUGAAAUCAAGCCCACAACAUUUUUACCAGUGUAUAUCUGAUUUUUAUUCAAACUAAAGAUUUCUUGUGUAAUAUAUUUUGAAUGAAUUUAUUUUCCACUGAAUUCUACAUGUUAUAAAACAAAGAAGAUCUUGGGGUGAUGUAUGUACUAAGAGAGCACAUUUCUUGACUAUACAGUAUCUGGCAUAUGAAGGCAAUGCUAUACAGUAUAUGUAUAGACAGUACCUACUAUUAAUGGUUAAGAAACUAUGAGAUGCCCACAUUUAUUUGGGCACCUUAUUUGGUAGUACAGUAUUUCAAAGCUAAUAAUUUAUAUGGAAUAAUAACGUGUAUUGAUCUGAAAAUAAUGCGAAAGUACGAAUACUUUGCCUUGUAAUGGUCUGCCUCUAAUUAUGUUACCUUAAAUAUAAUUCUCACAUAUUAUCAUAGCAUGGCACAAUCAUUUCCUAGUGCUUUACAUGUGUCUUGUGGAGAACAGUGUCUUCAUAGGCAUAAUUCUUUGGUUUUAAUUUUCAGAAUGCUCGUAUUUUGUUAUUUUCAGACUUGCUCGUAUAUUGUGUUUAGUGAUGCAGCUAUUGAAUUUUUAAGGGUCUGUCUAAAUGUGAUGUUAAAUGCAAAAUUUCACUUGCAGCUUUUUUUUUUAAGAAAUUAAUUUGAUUAAGAAUAGGGAGUUCUAUAUACCUGUAUCUCCAAUAUAACUGAUCAUAGUAUAUUUUGUCAUGCACCAAUCUCAUUUUUUUCUGAAGUUAGUAUUAAGUGAUAUUUCUGUUAUGAAAAAUAUUUUGUUUUUGUUUCCUAAAUACUGUAAUAUAAUAUAUUAAUAGACACAGAAAUCACAAUAGAGUGAUACAUCAAAUGAACAAAUCCACAAGGGCCGUGUUGAAGGUUCGAACUUACGUCCAGGAUGAGCCCAGACGCGCCUCAGUCGAUUGUGGCUCUCAUGGCACAAUCGACUAAGGCGCGUCUGGGAUCAUCCUGGAUUUAAGUUCAAACCCUCAUCAUGGCUUGUUACCUAGCAGUAAAAUAGGUACCUGGGUGUUAGUCAGCUGUCACGGGCUGCUUCCUGGGGGUGGAGGCCUGGUCGAGGACCGGGCCGCGGGGACACUAAAACAAAGAAAAAAGCCCCAAAAUCAUCUCAAGAUAAUCUCAAGAAGGUGGCCCUUGUGGAUUUGAUCACUAUAAUACAUUGUUAAUGUGUUAAAUUGAUAACACCAAGACUAUUACUGACAUUC